UACGUAGGGGGCUAGCGUUGUCCGGAAUCAUUGGGCGUAAAGCGCGCGUAGGCGGCCCGGUAAGUCCGCUGUGAAAGUCAAAGGCUCAACCUUUGAAUGUCAGCGGAUACUGCCGGGCUAGAGUCCGGAAGAGGCGAGUGGAAUUCCUGGUGUAGCGGUGGAAUGCGCAGAUAUCAGGAGGAACACCAACGGCGAAGGCAGCUCGCUGGGACGACACUGACGCUGAGACGCGAAAGCGUGGGAGCAAACAGG
rnacentral:rRNA from 1 species